UUCUUUCGGGAUGAAGACUUUUAUGACUGAGUGGCGGACGGGUGAGUAACGCGUGGGUGACCUGCCCCAUACCGGGGGAUAACAGCUGGAAACGGCUGCUAAUACCGCAUAAGCGCACAGAGCUGCAUGGCUCAGUGUGAAAAACUCCGGUGGUAUAAGAUGGACCCGCGUUGGAUUAGCUUGUUGGUGGGGUAACGGCCCACCAAGGCGACGAUCCAUAGCCGGCCUGAGAGGGUGAACGGCCACAUUGGGACUGAGACACGGCCCAGACUCC
rnacentral:rRNA from 1 species